AAAAUAAAAAUAAAAACAUUUAAAAAAAUUAAAAAACAAAACAAAACAGAGAUUCUUGAGCUCCUAAGGGCCCUCUGGCUGCCCAAGGCGCUAGCUAUCAUCCGUUGUCCAGGCCACCAAAAAGCAGACACACCAGUAGCCAGGGGAAACCGGCUAGCCGACCCAACAGCAAAGGAAGCGGCCCUUUCGGUGACCCAGGUUUUAACAACCACGCUACCCGAUCCGGGGGCACCGACCCUGCCGGACACCCCCAACUAUACUGACACUGACUUAACAACGGAUUAAACGCUUGCCUAUGACCCAAUGCUUGCAUGGCUGGUGGAGGGCCGCAGACUCCAGCAUCAUCCUGCCAGAGGAACUAGGACGACAAGUCCUAUCCAAAAUGCAUCGGAGUACUCAUGGGAACAAGAAAGAUGGAAGACCUCAUACGACAUGCUAAGAUCAUUAUUAAGGACUCUUGUGCAAAGAUUGAGCAGAUCGUGGCAAGCUGUCAUGCAUGCCAGCUAACCAACGCCACCACCCAUGGGUCUAACCCCGGAACCCGACUCAGGGGAGACCACCCAGGAACAUACUGGGAAGUAGAUUUCACUGAGGUAAGGUCUGGAAAGUAUGGGUACAAGUACCUGCUAGUUUUCGUAGAUACCUUUUCAGGGUGGACAGAGGCAUUCCCCACCAAGCAUGAAACAGCACAAAUCGUGACCAAAAAGCUGCUGGAGGACAUUCUGCCAAGGCGAUUGGGUGUACGUGCGGAGGCACCAACAGCAGACACUCCAACCUCACUGGAAAGGACCCUACAUUGUGAUCGUGACCACGCCCACCGCUCUCAAGGUCGAUGGAAUAACUUCUUGGGUCCACUACACCCACGUCUGGCCAGCUGAUCCACACGCCGUCCUCAAGGACUUUGUUCCAGAAUGGAAGAGUCAGCCCAACAAGGACAAUCCCUUAAAGCUAAGGCUGUGUCGUUCCCACUUACCCCGCUAAUAUUACUUGCGCUGUAUCCCCUCGUGGCUAAACCCAACCCAACCCCCACUAACCACUUAAUCUAACCUGGCAAAUCAUCACCCCAAGCUCUAAUCAGGUAGUAACCCAGCUGUCAGAGCUACACCCUAGAGGGACCUGGUGGCCUAAUCUGACUAUCGACUUGUGUGAACUAUUCAGUCAGGACCCCUGGCACCAAGGCAGAAUAGGAAUACCAGGAUGUGGCACCGAGAGGGCCGAGACGGCUCUCCGAGAUACCUGUUUUUACGUGUGUCCGGCCCUCUUUCAGUCUGACAUAAUAAGGCCUCCAAAUGCGGUGGCUGGAUGGACUACUUCUGCAAAACAUAGGGUUGCAAACAAACUGGGACAUGCAAUUGGCUGUCACAAAACCCAUUGGGCCUCAUAAAAAUCCAACUGAAUACUACGCACCCCUCAUGCUCGGAAUGCCCUUACUGUAAUCCAGUCACCAUUUCCUUCACGGAGACUGGGAAACAAGAAACAAAUUGGGGGGUAGGACUUCCGUGGGGACUCCAGCUUCACCAAAGCAGGUAUGAUAACAGAGUCCUAUUCAUGAUCAGACAACUAGAGAAACCGAAAAGUCGGACCCAAGGGAUAGGUCCCAACACUGUGCUAGUGCCUCCUCAACCUCAGGCAACACCUGCAGCACCCCCUCUGAAUCUUGCCCACAACAUCUCCAGUGGGGGCACCCCAGUCCUGACUCUCCUCUCCCCUCUCCUCCCCCUCGACCCUUCUCAGCACCCUCUUUGCGCCCUGAUGUCCAAGGCUUACAAAUUCCUCAACACAACUAAGCCCAAUCUUAACCUGAUCCUGCUGGCUGUGCAAUGACGUCCGCCCCCCCUUCUAUGAGGGUAUAGCAAUAAUGGGUCAAUAUAACACGACCAGGGACCCUAAUGGUUGCAGGUGGAACCAAAAGCCUGGUAGUAAAGGCCUCACCUUGCAGUCCGUGUUAGGUCAGGGACCCUGUAUAGGCACUCCUCCACGCCACCACCAGGCUCUGUGCAACGUUACACAGUCUAUAAAUAAUACAGGGUAUUAUCUACCACCCCAAGACAGUUGGUAGGCUUAUUCCGAGGGUUUAACUCCCUGCGCUCAUGGUCAGGUUAUAAACAGAACUGGGGGCUUCUGUGUGCUGGCUCAGCUACUCCCUAGAAUCAUCUACCAUUCAGAUGAGCAGGUACUUCAGUGGAAGAGCGCAGAUACCCACGGGCGAAAUAAAAGGGAGCCCAUCUCCGCUAUCACCAUCGCCUCCCUACUGGGAAUUGGAUUGGCUGGCGCAGGGACAGGUAUUGCCUCACUAGCCACCCAGGCCUCCCACUACAGUAGCCUUAGAGCUGCCAUCGAUAUAGACCUAGAACGCAAAGAAACCUCCAUUUCCCACCUCCAAGAAUCCCUAACGUCUUUGUCUGAACUGGUGCUCCAAAAUAGGAGGGGAUUAGACCCAGUUUUUCUACAACAAGGGGGAGUCUGCGCUGCCCUGAACGAAGAGUGCUGUUUCUACACUGACCACUCAGGGAUAGUAUGAGAACCAAUGGCUAAGGUAAGGGAAGGAUUAGCCAAGUGAAAAUGAGAGCGAGAGCAGCAACAGGGAUGGUUUGAAUCAUGGUUCAAUCAUUCCCCCUGGCUGACUACCUUAUUGUCCUCCCUAGCCGGCCCCCUAAUCAUCCUUCUCCUCCUUCUGACCUUUGGGCCCUGCCUCAUCAAUAGACUAGUGGCUUUUGUCAGGGACCGAGUCAAUACGGUUCAACUCAUGGUACUCAGGCAACAAUACCAACCACUGACUCUCUCGACAGAAACCCAGAACCCAUGAUUGGGUCCUACAUAGGAUCCUCUAGAAAAGGGGGGGAAUGUGGGACCCAAGGAAUUUAACAAAAAUCCCCUACCCCUGGACAAGCAGAGCAAGACUAACUCCAUUUUGUACUACACCCACCAUCUCAUGUAUAACCUCCACAUGACCUACUUAUUGCUUAAGACACUCCCCCACCCUAGUCAAUACAGAACCCCUAACCGUCAAAGAAUAUAAACCCCGCCUUUUGCCCACCAAACUUGCGCGCCAAUUCUGACCAGAGUGAUAGGCUAGUUCAAACAGUUACUAUAGGGUAAAUUGUAAUUCAAUUGGCCACCUGCGUGUGGACUGACAUGACUAUGCAACUUUCUGUGUGUGUUACAAUCUCAUUGGCCACUGGCCCCUAUAAAACUGCUAUGCCUCUUAACCUAGGGGUCCAAGUCCCUGCUCCGCUGUGUCAGGUAUACUUGGGCCCAAGCUCCAGCUUGCAAAUAAACCCUCGUGCAUUUGCAUCGG